AUUGAACGCUGGCGGCAGGCCUAACACAUGCAAGUCGAGCGGAUGAAGGGAGCUUGCUCCUGGAUUCAGCGGCGGACGGGUGAGUAAUGCCUAGGAAUCUGCCUGGUAGUGGGGGAUAACGUCCGGAAACGGGCGCUAAUACCGCAUACGUCCUGAGGGAGAAAGUGGGGGAUCUUCGGACCUCACGCUAUCAGAUGAGCCUAGGUCGGAUUAGCUAGUUGGUGGGGUAAAGGCCUACCAAGGCGACGAUCCGUAACUGGUCUGAGAGGAUGAUCAGUCACCUUGGAACUGAGACACGGUCAAGACUACUACGGGAGGCAGCAGUGGGGAAUAUUGGACAAUGGGCGAAAGCCUGAUCCAGCCAUGCCGAGUGUGUGAAGAAGGUCUUCGGAUUGUAAAGCACUUUAAGUUGGGAGGAAGGGCAGUAAGUUAAUACCUUGCUGUUUUGACGUUACCAACAGAAUAAGCACCGGCUAACUUCGUG
rnacentral:rRNA from 1 species